CCUACGUGAGGCAGCAGUGAGGAAUAUUGGUCAAUGGGCGCGAGCCUGAACCAGCCAAGUAGCGUGAAGGAUGACUGCCCUACGGGUUGUAAACUUCUUUUAUAAAGGAAUAAAGUGAGGCACGUGGGCCUGUGUGUAUGUAUUUUAUGAAUAAGGAUACGCUAACUACGUGCCAGCAGCCGCGGUAAUACGGAGGAUCCGAGCGUUAUCCGGAUUUAUUGGGGUUAAAGGGAGCGGAGAUGGGUUGUUAAGUCAGUUGUGAAAGUUUGUGGCUCAACCGUAAAAUUGCAAUUGAUACUGGCAGCCUUGAGUACAGUUGAGGUAGGCGGAAUUCGUGGUGUAGCGGUGAAAUGCUUAGAUAUCACGAAGAACUCCGAUUGCGAAGGCAGCCUACUAGACUGCCACUGACAUUGAUGCUCGAAAGUGUGGGUAUCAAACAGGAUUAGAUACCCCUGUAGUC
rnacentral:rRNA from 1 species